rnacentral:rRNA from 1 species
UCGUAAACCGACACAGGUGGGUGGGUCGAGUAGACCAAGGCGCGCGAGAGAAACCUCUCUAAGGAACUCGGCACAUUAGCCCCGUAACUUCGGGAGAAGGGGUGCCUGCUUAGCAGGUCUCAGUAAAUUGCGUUUAGCGACUGUAUAACAAAAACACAGCACUCUGCCAAGUCGUGAAGACGACAUAUAGGGUGUGACACGUGACCAAUGCGGAAAGAUCAAGGCAACUUGUUAGCCGUAAGGCGAAGCUCGGAACCUAAGUCCCCGUGAAUGUCGGCCGUAACUAUAACGGUCCUAAGGUAGCGAAAUUCCUUGUCGGGUAAGUUCCGACCUGCACGAAUCGUGUAACGACUGAACGACUGUCUCGGAGAGGAUCUCGGCGAAACUGUAACGGCGGUGAAGAUGCCGCCUGCCCGCAGUAGGACGGAAAGACCCUAUGUACCUUUACUGUAAGCUCGUAUUGGGUUCUGAUUAAUAAUGCUUAGCGUAGGUGGGAGACUUUGAAGGCGUGGCUUCGGUUGCGCUGGAGUCGAAAUGUGAAACACCACUCUUUGUUAAUUAGGAUUCUAACCUCGAUUCCUGUGAAACCAGGCGAGGGACAGUGCGUGCGGGUCAGUUUGACUGGGGCGGUUUCCUCCCAAAGAGUAACGGAGGAGCGCGAAGGUACUCUCAGCACGGUUUGCAACCGUGCGUCGAGCGUAUGGGUAGAAGAGUGCUUAACUGUGAGACAUACAAGUCGAGCAGGUACGAAAGUAGGCCCAAAUGAUCCGAUAGUUUAAUGUGGAAUUGCUAUCGCUCAACGGACAAAAGGUACGCUAGGGAUAACAGGCUGAUCGCCGCCAAGAGUUCAUAUCGACGCGGCGGUUUGGCACCUCGAUGUCGGCUCAUCGCAUCCUGGGGCUGGAGAAGGUCCCAAGGGUCCGGCUGUUCGCCGGUUAAAGCGGUACGCGAGCUGGGUUCAGAACGUCGUGAGACAGUUCGGUCCUUAUCCACUGUGGGCGAAGGAAACUUGAGGGGUUCAUUCUCUAGUACGAGAGGACCGAGAAUGACGCACUUCUGGUGUGGCAGUUAUUCCGUCAGGGGUAGCGCUGCGUAGCCAUGUGCGGAAGAGAUAAGCGCUGAAAGCAUCUAAGUGCCAAGCUCAUCCCAAGAUAAUGUUUCUCGGACGCAAGUCCCUAAAGACCCCAGCGAGACUAGCUGGUUGAUAGGUUAGGCGUGUAAGUGGAGUAAUCCAUUCAGCGGACUAAUACUAAUCGGUCGUGCGGCUUGAUCGC